rnacentral:rRNA from 1 species
AACGAACGCUGGCGGCAGGCUUAACACAUGCAAGUCGAGCGAGACCUUCGGGUUGAGCGGCGGACGGGUGAGUAACGCGUGGGAACGUGCCCUUCUCUACGGAAUAGCCUCGGGAAACUGAGAGUAAUACCGUAUACGCCCUUUGGGGGAAAGAUUUAUCGGAGAAGGAUCGGCCCGCGUUGGAUUAGGUAGUUGGUGGGGUAAUGGCCCACCAAGCCGACGAUCCAUAGCUGGUUUGAGAGGAUGAUCAGCCACACUGGGACUGAGACACGGCCCAGACUCCUACGGGAGGCAGCAGUGGGGAAUCUUAGACAAUGGGGGCAACCCUGAUCUAGCCAUGCCGCGUGAGUGAUGAAGGCCUUAGGGUUGUAAAGCUCUUUCAGCUGGGAAGAUAAUGACGGUACCAGCAGAAGAAGCCCCGGCUAACUCCGUG